GUGCUCGCUUGGCAGCACAUAUACUAAAAUAGAAACAAUACAGAGAAAAUUACAUGGCUCCUGCACAAGGAUGACUCGCAAAUUCGUGAAGCGUUACAUAUUUUU